CAAUCUCUUAAAGCCGUUCUCAGUUCGGAUUGUAGGCUGCAACUCGCCUACAUGAAGUCGGAAUCGCUAGUAAUCGCGGAUCAGCAUGCCGCGGUGAAUACGUUCCCGGGCCUUGUACACACCGCCCGUCACACCAUGAGAGUUGGCAAUACCCAACGUACGUGAUCUAACCCGCAAGGGAGGAAGCGUCCUAAGGUAGGGUCAGCGAUUGGGGUGAAGUCGUAACAAGGUAUC
rnacentral:rRNA from 1 species